GCCCAACCUGGACAAAGGCAGGAUAUUCAGGAAUCUCCAGAAGAAUUAGACAUCCUGUCUUAUAGAUGCUUAUUCAUAAAAGAGUGGGGAGAGCCUGAAGGUGUAAAAUGUGUUAUUUGCCACCUUUAAAACUUCUCCAUGGUGCUGAGAGGUCCAUCAGUCAAACUGCCACAUUUUACAGAUGAGGUUGAGCUGAAAGCCUGACCCACCGCGUGCUCCAGCGCAGCCUUCUCAGGGUUCGGCUUUGGAGUGGGGAGUGCGGUACAAGGCCUUACCGGGCAUUUGCUCAGCUAAAAAUAAAGCGAAGCUGGCUUCUGUCUGCUAUCACUCCUUAUACGUAUACAGCUAGCUGCUCAGAAAACUUGAAAAUGAACUAUUUAGCUGGACAAGAGGUAGGACUAAGGCCAUCCUCUACAAAGUGAUCUACCUCCUCCUCAGGUUUUUAUACAUUUCCACUUGUUGCCCCUACUGACUGCAAAAUCUGGAAGCAACAAGGAAUCCUUCCACCACAUAAGGUGUGAAAGAGGGAGAUGGUUCUGAAACUUGUGUGAUACUUACAUACCCUCUUUGUCACAUAUGGCCAUGUACUAGUACACUGAGUGACUUCUCCAAACAUGUGGAUAAGGAAGGCGCGUAAGAGAGAAAAACCCCUUCUAUACCUCAACCUGGUUGCCAGUGGCUUCAGGUGAAAGUGGCUGGGGUAGGUGGACAAACUGACGUGCUUGUAAAUCUUAAAUCAAUGGUUUUCAAACUCAGGCAUGCAUCAGAAGCACCUGGAGGACUUGUUAAAACAUGGAUUGCUGGCACCUCCCUGGAGUUUCUGAUUCAUGAGGUCAUGGGGCCUGAGAAUUUGCAUUUCUAGCAAGUUCCCAGGUGAUGCAUCUACUGCCGCUCUGAGAACGCACGUUGAGAACCACUGCUCUAAAGAAUACACUAUGAAGUUCAAAACAACUAAAUUUUACUUUUAUUUCCAGGGAAAGAAAAGGACCACAAAUAUAUUUUAUAAAUUAUUUUAGUGUUUCUUUAAAAUAAUUUAUUCUUUUUUAAAAAUGAGGUAUACACUACCAAAAAAGUAUCUUUUUAUCAAGUAAGUAGUUCCAAUCAAGUUUUUCAAACUUAAUUACACACUGCUAUUUAAUUGUUAUUAACGUCAUGGUCUUAAGAUUUGCGAGUUAGAAGAAAUUCCAGUUGGUAUCAAUGGACUUCCAUAUGCAAUAUAUGCACAGAAUAUGAAAAACUAUUUUCAAAUAUUAUUGAUAUGGUGCACAUCUCUAUACAAGUUGUUUCUGUAGAUCUAAGACAACUAUUUUCUUUUUAUGGUAAUUUAAUUUUUCUAGGUUACUGGUAAUACUUGAUAUUAUUCUACUUUGCUUCUUCAAACAGGAUGAGGAAAGCAUUUUAUAAAUCCCUUUAAAAUUAAAGCCAGAGAGCCCAUCAUCUUUUGAAGCACUUCCACAGGUGCGAACUGGUUCAAACUUUUUGGAGAGAACUUUACCAAUAUGUAUCACAACCCCUAAAAGCUUUCAGAUGCUUUGACUCAUUAAUUCAUCUUCCAGAAACCAGUCUGGAGGGAAUAAUCUGACAGAAGGUUUAAGCACAAAAACGUUCAUCACUGCAUUAUCUAUAAUAACAAAACCUGUAGACUCAGUUAUCACAAUAGGGGAUUCACUGAGUAUCAAGCUAUGAUUUCAAUAUACGUUGGCAUAUUUAGCAGCUCUUAAAAAUGAAGAAUUAUUAGCAGCACGAGAAAAUACUUAUAAUAUUAAGGGGAAAAAAGGAGACUUAAAAAAUUUAGAUAUUGGCUGGGCGCGGUAGCUCACACCUGUAAUCCCAGCACUUUGGGAGGCUGAGGUGGGUGGAUCACCUGAGGUCAGGAGUUCAAGCCCAGCCUGGCCAACAUGGCAAAACCCCGUUUCUACUAAAAAAUAAAAAAAUUAGCCAAGAAUGGUGGUAAGCAUCUGUAAUCUCAGCUACUCGGGAGGCUCAGACAGGAGAAUCACUUGAACUCCGGAGGAAGAGUUUGCAGUGAGCCGAGACGGAGCCACUGCACUCCAGCCUGAGUGACAGAGCAAGACUCCAUCUCAAAAACGAAACAAAAACAAAAAAAUUUAGAUAUUGUUUACCUUCAACUCUGUAGCCACAAAAAGUGUAUACUGAAAAAAGACUGAAAGCAAAACAAUAUAUUGACAUGAGUCAACA
rnacentral:lncRNA from 1 species